AUUGAACGCUGGCGGCAGGCCUAACACAUGCAAGUCGAGCGAGCGGCGGACGGGUGAGUAAUGUCUGGGAAACUGCCUGAUGGAGGGGGAUAACUACUGGAAACGGUAGCUAAUACCGCAUACCAUCAGAUGUGCCCAGAUGGGAUUAGCUAGUAGGUGGGGUAACGGCUCACCUAGGCGACGAUCCCUAGCUGGUCUGAGAGGAUGACCAGCCACACUGGAACGGGGACACGGUCCAGAAUCCUACGGGAGGCAGCAGGUGGGAAUAUUGCACAAUGGGCGCAAGUCUGAUGCAGCCAUGCCGCGUGUGUGAAGAAGGCCUUCGGGUUGUAAAGCAAUUUCAGCGGGGAGGCGUUACCCGCAGAAGAAGCACCGGCUAACUCCGUGUCAGCAGGCGCGGUAAUUC
rnacentral:rRNA from 1 species